rnacentral:rRNA from 1 species
UACGAACCGUCCAAACGUUGUUCGGAAUUACUGGGCUUAAAGGGUUCGUAGGCGGCCUUGUAAGUGGGGUGUGAAAUCCCUCGGCUCAACCGAGGAAUAGCGCUCCAAACUGCAAGGCUUGAGGGAGACAGGGGUAAGCGGAACUGAUGGUGGAGCGGUGAAAUGCGUUGAUAUCAUCAGGAACACCGGUGGCGAAAGCGGCUUACUGGGUCUCUUCUGACGCUGAGGAACGAAAGCUAGGGGAGCAAACGGG